rnacentral:rRNA from 1 species
UACGUAGGGUCCGAGCGUUGUCCGGAAUUACUGGGCGUAAAGAGCUCGUAGGUGGUUUGUCGCGUUGUUCGUGAAAACUCACAGCUCAACUGUGGGCGUGCGGGCGAUACGGGCAGACUGGAGUACUGCAGGGGAGACUGGAAUUCCUGGUGUAGCGGUGGAAUGCGCAGAUAUCAGGAGGAACACCGGUGGCGAAGGCGGGUCUCUGGGCAACAACUGACGCUGAUGCGCGGAAGCUAGGGGAGCGAACGGG